rnacentral:rRNA from 1 species
UACAGAGGGUGCGAGCGUUGUUCGGAAUUAUUGGGCGUAAAGGGCGCGUAGGCGGUUCGGUAAGUCACCUGUGUAAUCUCCUGGCUCAACUGGGAGCUUGCAGGCGAAACUGCCGUGCUGGAGUGUGGGAGAGGUGCGUGGAAUUCCCGGUGUAGCGGUGAAAUGCGUAGAGAUCGGGAAGAACAUCAGUGGCGAAAGCGACUUCCUGGACCAAUACUGACGCUCAUGUGCGAAAGCGUGGGGAGCAAACAGG